ensembl:lncRNA
ACAACAACAACAACAACAACAAAUACCAUAGCAAGUGCAGUGGAUUAUUCAUCAAUUCAUCAAACAUCCAGAAGUAGAAGACCAGUCUUCAUGGGAUGAAGAUGCACUGACCAGUGUGAAGACUGAAGGAACUACAUGGGAAUGACCAGAGCACCAGGAACUGCAGCUCCCUGGCAGCCAUCCCUACUCUGAGAGUUCACUGCAUGAUGUCAUGACUUCAAUCAUCCUGAAAUUUGCUGGAAAAGCAAUGCUGCCAGGCACACAUAGUCCAAGAGGUUCUUGCAGUGUACACAUGGCGGAGGAGCCAACUAUGUGCUGCUGGACCUUGCUCUUACAAAGGAGGAAGCACUAGUUGGGGGUGUGAAGACUGGGGCCAGCCUUAGCUACAGUGACCAUGAGAAAGCAGAGUUCAAGAUCUCGCAUGGAAUAAACAGGGCAAUAUGUAGAGUUGCAACCCUGGACAUACGAAC